rnacentral:lncRNA from 1 species
CUGCUGCCCUCUUGCCUCUCCUGCCCGGGGAGAGCCCGGAGCCCUGGAAACUCUUCUCGGCUCCCUAGGAAGCUUUCUCUGGAGGAAUAGAGAGCUUUGCUUAUUGCAGCAGGUAUGGGGUAAGCCCCUGGGCCAGCAUGGGUGCUGAGCUAGGCCCCGUCCUGACGUCCUUCCCGUCCUGAGACAGAGGUUGGCACGGUCUGUCUGCUCUGACGCUGGAUCCUUGGGAAUCCCGAGGACUCUGCUGCCUUCCAGCACACACGGAGGAUGGCUCAGGACAUGCUUCUGCCUCCCAAGAGCCUCCUUGUCUGUGACCAGCUGGAAGGAGAGAGCCAGGUCAGAACUCUGGCCCCCCGGGAGUGAGCCUGCUGCUGGCCUGCUGGGAUGUGUCUUAGUGCAGCCCUCCCCAGCGAUGUCGCUGACCUGGGCCGAGGCACCCAGUCUUUACUCUGGCUGUCGGGAGAACCUUUCCUUCACUGCCAGCCCCAGGGCUCUGAACAGUGGCUAAGCUUCUCAGGGCUGGCUCUUCAGAGAUGCGCUGCGCCUUCAGGAGGACUGUAGAA